rnacentral:rRNA from 1 species
UACGUAGGGUGCGAGCGUUGCCCGGAUUUAUUGGGCGUAAAGGGCGCGUAGGCGGCUACGCACGUCCGUUGUGAAAUCGCCCGGCUCAACUGGGCGGGGUCGGCGGAUACGGCGUAGCUUGAGCAAGCUAGGGGGCAAUGGAAUUCCCGGUGUAGUGGUGGAAUGCGUAGAUAUCGGGAGGAACACCAGUGGCGAAGGCAGCUCACUACAGAGUCAUUGACGCUGAGGCACGAAAGCGUGGGGAGCAAACAGG